rnacentral:rRNA from 1 species
CGUAAUAACAGAAACUAACCAGGAUUCCCUUAGUAACGGCGAGUGAACUGGGAUACCAAUAUAUUUAUGCGUCUCUGGCGCAUAUUUUUAGCCCGUCGAUACUAUCCUAGCGUAUUACCGGUUUCGGCCGGUAGCCCAAUACGCGGGAAUUGUAGCAUCGUAAUAAAAUAUACACCAUGCCUGCGUCGCAAACGUAUAUACACGUAUACUCACACACACACACAUACUCUCGUACGCGUACACACCCCUUGCAAACACACAGCGCUCCCGCGUUGGAAAGCAAGUCUAUAUCCUCUUUGGAUAUGCCAUAGAGUGUGACAGCCACGUUUGAAACACCCUACGUACCGUACACACACAUACGUAAAAAUACGCGCUGCUUCGCAUACGCAUACCGUAUAUAACCUGAGUCGAGUUAUUU